UUAAAUUGAAGAGUUUGAUCAUGGCUCAGAUUGAACGCUGGCGGCAGGCUUAACACAUGCAAGUCGAACGGUAACAUAAGUGCUUGCACUUGAUGACGAGUGGCGGACGGGUGAGUAAGGUAUGGGGAUCUGCCGAAUGGAGGGGGACAACAGUUGGAAACGACUGCUAAUACCGCAUAAAGUUGAGAGACCAAAGCAUGGGAC
rnacentral:rRNA from 1 species